GCAGGUCCUGUGCUGUGAAUAGAUCCAUGUGCAGCACAAAGGGAAUGUGGCAUGUGGCCCCAGGAAGAGGUCACCUGGCCAGGGGGCAGUUGUUCAGUUGCCUAGGGCUGACACCACUGGCCUUUGGGGUUUCCUGCAGCCUGCCUGCCUACCUUGCCCUCCUCACAUCUCAGUCAGGGGAGGCCCUGCCCAAGCCAGUGUGCUAUCAGAGCCUGCAGCGGGGCGGCACUUCCUCAGAGGGGCUGGGAGGUGCUGGGGAUGCCCCAGCACUUCUCUUCCUGCCUGGCCCUGCCAUGGCCCAGUGCCUGUAGGAUCAACUUACCAUCCGUGGAGCAGCCCCGGGAAACCUAAACCUGCCUCAGGACAGGGGGGGAAUGGGGGCUACAAAUCAUCCCAGGCUAAAUCUCCAUGGGCACUGGGUCCUGCCGCAGUCUGGCCAUGGCCUCAGUUAGAACCAGUUAGAAAGUCAUCAACACCCCGCAGAAGGCCACUGCGGCUAAGUAAGCACCUGAGAAAGAAACUAUACCAGAAGAGAUGAUGUGGGCUUCCAGGAGCACGGAGAAGGUGGCACUUGAACUUUUAGGAAACUCCCUAGAUGAGAUAAAGUAGCGGUUGAAGGUGGCGGGAAGAGGGUAACCCUGGGAAAGUAAAUGUCAGAACACAUGGCAGAAACCUGUGGGAGAGGCAGGGGAAGGGCUUUGGGGACCACUGUAGAUGGAGCUCUGAAAGCACCCUGCCCAAAGCCUCUCCUGAGGUGACAGAGCAUGGGAGGAGGCUGCAGGGGCACUGGGCCUGCAUGCCAUCCUCACCCCUGUUCCCCACUGGCGCCAGGCCCUGGCUUCUUGGCACGUGUGCCCUCACCGGCCAAUCUUGUCACUCCCCAUGGUUACUGUGUCUCAGCCGGCUGUGGCCCCUAGUUUGUAGCAGCAUUUCUCAGUGUUCUUGGCCCUUCUGAGAAGGCAGGCAGGAGGCACACAGUGCCCUCUUCCUCCCCAUUUGUGCAGUCGCUUGCAAAGCAGAGAAUGAGUAGGAAUGAACCCAAGUGCCUUCACCCACCCUGUCCCCCACAUCAGGAAAGGCUUGAGGCCUCUCUGGGUGUGAGCGAGGAAACCAGGCUGCUCUAACUUCAGAAGAGUGGGCUCUAGCUCAAGACUCCAAUCGGCCAGAAGCCCAGAGAUCAAAGCACUUGUAAGUUCAGCUGUCCUGGCCCUCGGGCAGAACCCACGGGUGUGCCUGGGUGUGGCUCCACCCACAUGCCCCACUGUCAGCCCAGGCAGGAGCCCUCCUCCAGGCCAUCACCCAGCCCCAAUGCAUCCCAGCAUUGCACACUUACUCUUCACAAGCACUUAUAUGCCGAUGGCCUCUGAGACCCUGCCUCACGGGUCUGCUGAGACCAGGCCAGGUCUGCAACGGAGCCAGGCAGCUCCCCACCCCACCACCCAGUCACCUGGCACCAUUAGGUUUCAGAUCUCCCGUGUGGUGUUUGAUGUCGGCUUUUGUUCCUACCUUGGGAGUUUGGAUUGUUUCCUCUGGUGUCUUUGUUUACCUUCCUCACUGUUCUACCUCCUGGCCAGGUCUCAGCUUAGCUUCCCUGGUAUGGGGUGUUUUUCAAGCCUUCCAACCACAGCUAUCUCCCUCAGGCUGGAUGGCUCAGGGGUGACAGGACUUCACCCUCUGCCUGCAGACCCCUGGUAGGCACAUCUCACAGGCUUUCGUCUUGCUGAGCUGGAUAUGGAGGCAGAAGUGGGGCGUGGAGGACAGUCAGAGGGAAAUCUGUUUCAGAAAGGAAGGGUCUUUAGACACACAGACUGGGGGGCCCUUCCCCACCUGUGGGGAGCUGCCAUCCGUGGGGCUCAUGCACGUCAAGACCUUCCCACAUCCAAACUCACCUUCCAGCAGGGAUUUUGACUUUGGAUGACAAGGCUUUAUUUGUAAAUAUGCUCUUAAUAUGCAACUUUGAGAAUAAAAUAGAAACAUCAUGUAUUUUAAAAUAUAAGAUGAAGUGUGACGCACUGUAUACAAUUUAAUAUAUAUUUUUAGGAUUUUGUUAUUUAAGAAAGUGGAAUGUAAUGGUACUUUUACAAAAGAGAAAAAAAUGUUAUUUUUACUGUCUGGAAAAAAAAUAAAUAUUCUCAUUGUUGUAGAAACA